AAUUAAUAUUAAUCAAUAUAACAAAAAAUAUUUUAACCAUAUGGUCCUUUCGUACUAAUAUGGAUUAACAAUCUUAGGAUAGAAACCGACCUGGCUCACGCCGGUCUGAACUCAGAUCAUGUAAGAAUUUAAAGGUCGAACAGACCUAAUCAUUGGGCUCCUGCACCCAAAAUUUUUCUUAAUCCAACAUCGAGGUCGCAAUCUGCUUUGUCGAUAUGAGCUCUCAAAAACAAUUACGCUGUUAUCCCUAAGGUAACUUAAUCUUAUGAUCAUAAAUUAUGGAUCAAAAUAACAAACAUAAAUAAAUGAUAUAAUAAUGAAGAGUUUAUCUAUUCUGCAUGUCACCCCAACAAAACAUCAUCAUUAAAUAUAGAAAGACAAACAAAAAACUAUAUAAAAGUAAAAUGUCAAGCUCUAUAGGGUCUUCUCGUCCUAAAGAAGAAUUUAAGCCUUUUGACUCAAAAGUUAAAUUCAAAAAUUUAUUAAGAGACAGUUGAUUUCUCAUCAAGCCAUUCAUUCCAGCCACUAAUUAAGAGACUAAUGAUUAUGCUACCUUUGCACGGUCAAAAUACCGCGGCUCUUUAAAAA